UCUAAUAUGGCAGAAUAGUGCAAUGAAUUUAAGAUUCAUAUAUAAAUAUACAUAUAUUUUUUUA
rnacentral:tRNA from 1 species